AUACUGAGGGUGCAAGCGUUAAUCGGAAUUACUGGGCGUAAAGCGAGUGUAGGCGGCUACCUAAGUCGGAUGUGAAAGCCCUGGGCUUAACCUGGGAAUUGCAUUCGAAACUGAGUAGCUAGAGUCUGAUAGAGGGAAGUGGAAUUCCGGGUGUAGCGGUGAAAUGCGUAGAUAUCCGGAGGAACACCAGUGGCGAAGGCGGCUUCCUGGAUCAAGACUGACGCUGAGGCUCGAAAGCGUGGGUAGCGAACGGGAUUAGAAACCCCAGUAGUCC
rnacentral:rRNA from 1 species